AAUACACCUAACCUAUCGGAAAUGAUAGCUUAGCCCAACUUACCUUAAACAUGCUCAGACACUUACCUUAGCCAACAGUUGGGCAAAAGUAUCUAAUGCAAAGCCUAUUGUACAAUACAGUAUUGAAUAUCUCAUGGAAUUUAUCAAAUACUAUACUGAAAGUGAAAACCACAAUGGACUUGCGGGUACUCAAAGUAUGGUUUAUAUAGAAUGUGUAUCGCUUUUGUACCAUCGUGUCAAAAAGUUGUGAAGUCAAAAGAGUUGGGGAUCAUCUGCAAUUGUAUGCACAAUGAUUCCUUCAUAUCAGAAUGCAAUGUUUACAUUUUUAGAAGUUGGCUAAUGAUUCUAUUCUAGAUUCUACCUGAAAAUUCUAAGAGUACAAAGAAUAAGACCAACUAAAAGUUGAUGCUGAGUAUACACAGAGAGUUCUGAUAACAAGGCCUUGGCAUCAGAUGACCAUCCCAAAGGUUGAGACAGCAGAGGCUACAACAUCUCUAGGGAAGCAGCCGUUACUCCCGGGUGAUCAGAAGAGGCCUCCGAGAAGUGGAGCAUCAAGCUGGGAGGUGGCCAUCGCGAUGAAAGGCGACACAGGCAUUUGGAGAACAGACAGCCUCACCUGUACCACUUGUGGUUAUGUGGCCUUGGCAAGUUUUUAGCUUUCUCUGAAUCUCAUUUUUCUCCUUAGUAACUGGAGAAUACUAUUUCAACCAACAUCCAAGGAACGGAUAUGAUUCUGAAUGGAAUCUAUGAAAGCAGAAAACUAUCAGGUACAGACCUGCCUUUACAGCUGUAAAAAUAAUUCAAAGCACAUGUUUCUCCUGACAGCAGGAAAGUCAUUUUACUGCCACAUAGAAAGGACCUCACAUUUAAAAAAAAUCAUUUUUAUAAACCUCCAUCUAUGGCUUCUCAUGCCAGAGAAGUUGACACAAUUGUGACUCAUCUGUGACCAAUUUUUGGAAGCUGUGAAAAUGGAACCAAGUGUCCCACUUAUCUACAAGUGGAGUGUGUACACUCCAGGGAGGUGGAAAUGUCUCUUUCACUGGUGACAUUUAAGAAAACGGCAGGGACAGCUAUCACUCAGUGUGGGUUGGCUACACAGCUGCCCGAAGGCAGUGUCACUGUUGCUGAGAGCAGGGACAGGGACGGCUCCCAGGGCUCAAGGAAAUAGGUCAGGAUUGACAGCAGCAGCUGGCUCGCUCUGCCUCCCACGCCCACCCUCACCCCGGUGCUGUUCUGGGUUCCCUGCCUGCGCUCCUGCUUCCCCUUGCACACCAGUGCCGGCUCCUGUCCCUCGGCCUCCCUCCAUGCCUCUGUCAAGGUGACAGCAACACAAAUCCCAAAUGCCUCCCCAGACAGAGAAACUGGGAGAACUUUCCAAGCCGAUAGAUAGUGGAAACAUUAAAAGCCUUACUGCUGAUUUCCCCGAAUUUAAUUUUUUUUUAAACCUAAAUGCUGAAACUUUGUGUUAGACUAUGGGCAAUCUUGGAAUCUGCAGUAGCUCCUUGAGCUUGAGCAAAACCGGACUAAGAAGCAGAGUCAGGAAGGCAGAGGUCAGUAAAGACCCGAAGGACAGGUGUGAAGCCAGCUGAGGGGUAUGGGAGGGGGCAGAAACAAAGGCCAUUGCCUGAGGAAGGUUGGAGCUCCGUGUUUCUGCAGUCUGCCGGCCGCCCAGCUUUCACUGGGCCUUCCUCCGGCACAGUCACUGCUGCUCUGGGGCCUUCCUGAAGGCCCACGUGAUUCUCGACACUGACAUUGACAUUGUCUUUAUUCUCAUCACAGGCUGUUGAUUCUCAAAGUUGGUUCCUCCAGCAGGAUCCCUCAGACUAUGCUGCCUCCAACCUGCUGUCCCCCGUGACGCAGAAUGAACAGAGGCCACCAGGAGAGCACUCACACCCCCACGCCCACACACAACGACACAGGCGUCCCUGCUUGUUCGUCAGUCGUCCCAAUUUCGCCCACAGUUCUAAUUUAGCGCGUCAGACACUGGUUGGGCUUUGCUGUUCUCUCGUACACCAAGAAGCCAUGGCCUUUGAGAGGAUUAUUUUUCCCUCAUUGCACCGAAGAAUAUUUCUCUUGUUUAUCAGUUCACAGCUGUGUUCCAGAUGGUGUUUCUAGAGGGUAAAACAAAACAAAACAGAAUCCAUUCUUCACCUUGAAGCCAGAGUGUUUUUUUGCUUUUUUUUUUUUUUCAAUGCAAACCUGAUUAUGUAACUCCCUCUCAGCAGCAAGCCAGUGUCCUUAGAAUAAAGUACAAAGUGCUUCCGACCCACGAGUCUCCUCUCAGCAGCUGGGCUCAGCCAACCAGGGGUACCCAGGUCAGGGUCUCAAGCCGGCCCUGCCCUCUCCCAGUCCAGCCCAGGGCCUGGACACCCGCAGUCCCCUCCACCUGCUAAUGCAGCUCCUCCCUUGCCAAAACAACAAACAAACAAAUAAAAAAGCCAUCAGGUCUCAGCUUCAACAUCAA